rnacentral:rRNA from 1 species
AAUUGCGUUUCACUAUGGCCCCAAAGUUAGCAAGUUAUCCAUCAUGACCUUCGUCGACCCCUCACCUUUGAGUGCGCGUCCUAGCUUAGAGUACAUGGUGUAAAUGGACUUGUUUUGGGUACCCAGAAAGCAACGAACGUGACCGCAACGUCUUGUUGUCUCUCUUUUGACAGUUAUGGGUUAUCCCAGUCAUGUGCUUAUACUUUUAUGUGUAAAUACGUACGACACAGAGACUAGAUACCAAACUAGGCGUACCGCUGUAUCAUUUCUUUAAACCAGAGGAAGGUUGCGGCAAUAACAGGUCUGUGAUGC